AUCUUUAUUUAUUCUGUGUGGAAAUAGUAACAUAGUUACGCCAUUAAAUGCUUUUAUGUGUAGCAGGUAGGACGGUAGUGAUGGGUAAUGCACCUUGGCCCCUCCCACUGGCAAUAAUCUAGAUCAGGUGGCACAUGUGACACGUCUUAAAAGAGGUGCGAACUCAGUAUUGGUGAAAAGACGGUGGAAGUAAAAGCCCCCGUAGCAGCUGCGUAAACGGAACCUUCAGCCUGGUGUCUGCAUGUAACCCUGGCUUGGUGUCUUUUUCUAUGGUGACCAGUAAAUGGUGCACACAACCACGAGUCUACUGACACCUGAGCGCAUAACAGCGAUUGGGACAGAAAGCUCACGUCAGGUGAGAGUGCACUGCUUCGCGUCAUCCACACAAGCAUUGGUACAGGAGUUGUAGGUCUAGUUCAUCAAGGCUGGCCCAAACACGAGGAUUGCCGUCGUCUGUUCGACCAGCCACUGUUUUUCCCAGGACCGAAUUUGUUUACUUGUAUCUAUUUGAAUGUAACCUUGCUACGAGUGCUAUAACUAUUUGAAUGUAACCUUGCUACGAGUGCUAUAACUAUUUGAAUGUAACCUUGCUACGAGUGCUAUAACUAUUUGAAUGUAACCUUGCUACGAGUGCUAUAAACAUCUGCCACUCGUAUCGUGGGUUAAUUGGGAGACUAGGGGGAAGGCCGGCUAGUGGUAGCCCUUUAACCCAAAUUGUUUUGUCUUUUGUUUGUUUUGUUUAUUAUAUCUUUCUUGUGUGGCCCAUGGGCAUUUUUACAUCAUCUCUUGUGGGAACAGUAUUUGUUUUCAGUGUUUUAGUGUUUGAUUUUCAUUUGCUGCUAACUGCAUGUUCAUUGAUUAUUGUAUAAUAAAUGUUUAUUGAUUGCA